GGCUCUUUGUAACAGAGCCCGGGAGCGCGCGACGGGGACGUGGACGCACAGGAGUGGACGCGCACGCCCGAGCAUGCGCAGGCCCUUCCUCCCCUCUCGCCGCUACCCCGAAACACCCCUUGUUCCACAACGCGCAGCCCGGGUCUCCCGAGGCCGCGCGCCCGAGCUGGCUCUCCGGUGGCCUCGGCCCUCACAACUCCCCGGGCGGCGGGAGGCAGUCCACUGGCCGGUAGGAGAACGGAGAGGAUUUACGCACCGCUGAUUAAUCCUCGCCGCCCGUGGCCCUGGCCCCUCUGCCCCCUUCCCGCGGAUGGUGGAUCCCAAGGGGAGGUGUGUGUGUGUAUUGGUGACCAGGUGAUGCGCGCGUCUCCCGAGCCCCCCUCCCCUCUCCGCAGACAAAGCCGGGUCCGCCCUCCGCGCUCACCCGCCGCAGCAUUUGUCAUUCAGAAUCCUCAAAACAAAACCCCACGUUGGGUUUAGAGACGCGAUUUGCCUUUCCGAGUUCUCUGGCAUUCCUAUCUUCUAGGAUUCCCUAAACAGCGAGGCAGUUGUAGCAGAGGAAGCCAGACGCCCCUGAGGAGACUGCAGACCGGGAAGCCCUAGUUCCACCUCCGCUUUCCCGAGACGCUGCGGUUUCAACACUCACUCGUAUCUGGCAGAGCGGUUCUGGAGGUAGAAGUCCACAGAGCUUCACCCCUCCCUCCCUCAACCCCACUGGCCAGUAGAGCAGAAGGGAGGCUCCGGGAGGUCCCAGGCAGGACUUUGAGUAGAGGUGCAGUUCUCAAUUUGGAUGUGUCCUUUUCCUGAGAAAAUAUCCCCCUGCUGUGCUCAGAUUCGGGUGAUGAAUGCACAACUAUAUGAUG